rnacentral:lncRNA from 1 species
CGCCAUCACUCUCCUCUCCAUCUCUGAGAUGCUCUCUAGCCUAAACCCUAAUUCUCCCCCUUCCACCAUCACUCAUCUACCGCCAUUCAUGGUGGUUUUUCACCACCCCAGGCCUCUAAUGUCCCCUCCUAUGCUAGGUACCUCCACCUCUAAGGUCCUUGAGAAGAUUCUCAAGGAACCAGGGCUAGUCUAUUUAUGCCUCGAGGAUUUUCUUUCUUGUUUCAGUCCAUUCUAGUUCGAUUUCGAGUAAGAACUUCUUAUUUCGCCUUAAAUCUAUGGAUUUAUAAGCCUAUGUCUUCAUCUCUGUCUCACUUCUGAAACCCUAAUUUUGUCCUUUGAUCUUCUCAGAUCUGUACAGAUCUGAGAAGAAUCAGACCUAUUUCAUAUAUUUAUGAAAAAUCUUCUUGUUUUCUAAGUGACUUUCCUUUUCCUAAAGCUAGAGUUUCCUGCAAAAUUCUUUUCUCCAAAAUGUUUUCUAGCUUUGAAUGUUUAAUCUUCUGUUAUAUGAGUUUUGACCGAUUUAUGUUGAGCUUUCCUAAACUCUAAUUACUUUAUGCUAAAACCCCAUUUUUCUGAUAUUUUUGCUUUGACUUUGAGUAUGUCUCUGUUACUUGCCACAUUAUUUUAUUCUAUGCUUUGAUUCUCAUGAUUUUCUUUUAGCCUAAUUCGAUGUCUUGUGAUUCUUAUCCCAGUAUGUCUCUAUUAGGGUUUGUUAUUUGAUUCUCGACUGAUUUUGUGUGUUUAUACUUGGCAUGUUUUCUUAUUCAUAGAAACCUAUAUAAUUCUCCUUUAAAUCAGUAUUAUUAUUUUUUGAGUUUUGAUUCAGUAAAAAGCUCUAUUAAGACCUGUGAUUCUUGAUUGUUUCCCUAUUUUACACCUUUUAAUUAUUUUCUUGCCUUAUUUGAUUAGCCGUGAUAUUUAUAGAUUCCUCAAGAUUGUAUUGAACCCUUAUUUAUUACCCCUAAUUGUCUAUUAUGUGCUUAAGUCUUACUUGAUUUUCUUUCCUUAAAUAUUGUCAUGUCCUUUACUGUUAGGUAAUUACCCCUUAAUUAGAGAAGACUUAACUUAUUUCAUGCAAAAUUGAUUCUGUAAGUUCCCCUAAUUGUUGAAUGAUUGAUCUCUUUACCUUAUUCUGUUCAACCCCUGACUACUAUAUAUACUCUCUUAUAUUCUCACUUCUGAAAGAAAAAACAGACAUCAGUUCACAACACACACUCAAACUCUUCUCCUUCUUUGCUACUUGUGCUAUGGUGGGUCUAGCCGGUUGAAAGCUAAGGCUAGAUAGUGAUACUAUAGUUGCUCUAUAUUCUGCACUCUUUUAUUCCUCAAACUGGUGUGUGUCUAGUUAAAUUUGAAACCCAAACUCUAUGUGUUUCAUUCCUGCAUUAGUUCAUUAACUAUGGAUUUAACCUAACCUCUUAUUUACUUCUUUGUUUAGCAUGCCUAAAUUCUGCUCUUUUCAAUAUAAAACUAGUAUGUCUACACUUCACAUGUUUAUCUGAUACUUGAAUAUCCUAUUUGAUUUACGCUUAAUCCCUUAACUACGUGAUCAUGGUUACUUAAUGCAUGUAGUUAAUCCUACUUGUGUGUCUAAUUUUGUCCUCUACGUAUUUGCUCCAUGUUUUAGCUGCCUAUUAUCCUGGUUAAUUUGUUAAGGCUAUGAAGCUCCUAAGUGUUCUACGCAUAUUAUUGUAUAUAUUCCUCCCUGCACCUUAUUCAUGUAGCCUCAAUGAGAUUUCCAUAUGUUCCCAAUCCCUUUCAACCAUGUGUGCAAAUAUGCUUGCUAAGGUGCCUGUGGAUUUGAACCUUCUAUGAUUGAUUGACCUUCUACAGAAUUUGCUCUCUUCAAAGCUGUUUUCAUAAUGUUAUCAAUAUUUUUCUAAAACUGGUUUUCAUUCCCAGCAUUUUCUUAAAAUUGGUCUAUUCUUGAAAAUCUUUUUCUCUCAUAAAAAAGUUAUCUCCAUACUAUUUUCACUAAGUAUUUCAAACUAUGUUCAAGCACUCUCACUUACUCUUAGGUCAUUAAGUUCUGCCCCUCUAAUAUGUGUACUGCUUAGGGAUCCUUGAAAUCUCUCUGAACUCUGUAAUAUUAGGGCUUGUUCUUCCACACUACACAUAACUAGUCCAUGUUUGAGAAAAGUCUUAGUGUGAGCACUGCCUGAGAUCCUUAAGGUCAUUAGGGAACUCUAAUAACCUGGACGCUUGUUGGCUAGGAGAUUUCUAAGAAAUUGAGACUACAUUGAGGCCUAGUGCCCCAUGUUUACUUCGGACUUGCUUCAGGCUCCAUAUAGUAUCAUUUACAUUUUAUUUGUGUAAUUUAUUCAAUCCUGGUCUGUAAUAAUUAUUUGCAAACAGAUAUUGGGGUAACUAAUGAAAUGGGAGGGUUGCUAUAUGAUUCUAUGGGGUAAAUUGGGUAGAAACCGUGCUUUAGGUAUUACAUUAUAUUGAGUUGCUGUAGAAAUCAUGUUCUAGGUUUGUAUGACGCAUUAGACAUCAUGUAUUAGGGUUGCUAUGCUUACCCAUAUUAAACCAUGCAAAAUUUGUGCAUUAGAUAUCUUGACUUAUGACAGUCAUGUUUAUUGCUUCUGCAUAUCACUUAUUAUAGUUCAUCUCACUUUUGAUUCUGUAUAAGCUGCUAUCACUUAGAAAUCCUUUCAUUAAGUUACUACUAUUGUUUGAUAAAAAUAACCUUCCCCGUGUGCAUUAGAGAUGUUGUUUUAGGACUGCAUGUGUAUUUGCCUUGAGACAUGUCACUAAAAUAAAUAGGUUAAAAUAACCCUCACACAUGUGUAUUAUGAUCUGGUGUGAAUCAGUAUAAAAUCACCUACUAUAAUAUGCAUCACUUAGAUCAACAUGCAUAUAGGAUGAAAGAACUUCAAACUGACUAAGUAGUCCCUAGAUUGUGACUGCAUAUAUACACCUAGGCAAGCCGUAGGCCAUUAAAUAACUAUGAAACCAGAUCAACUUAUGUGUGAAAUUGUCCAGACUUAACAGGCUAUAUAACCAGUAGGCAAACUGGUUAGGAUUCUGCCACCUCUCUUAAAACAAAUUGUGUAUAUCAUGUAUCUGUAACAUUUAUCUAAAUAUCAUGUUCCUUGGCUUUCAGAACUUCUUUAAAAUCAAUUGUUUGAGACAUGUUGUUUACUUGUGUGUGUAUCUGUGGAGGUAAAUAUAAGCCUUUUACUUGCUUCCUUAAUUGACAGUUCUAUGUGUUAUUUGGUGUCGCCUAGACUUUUCCCAUUUUAAAACCUGACAAUUGUCUAGAACUAUCCUAGUCUAGAAGUCUUAAACUCCUCCAGGGCCACAAGGAAGGGACGGGUACCAACACGCUUAGAGGUCGUUAAUCAAAUUUGCUUAUAUAACUAUUAAGGGGGGUAAUGGGUAGUAAAAGGAUAUGAUGCCCUGCGCGCUAAUGUCACGUGUAGCCCUUCUAGUUGAGGAGGAUUACCGAUCAUUGCACAGAUUGAUCAUGUAGGCUAAUCAACCUAGGACUUCCCUUUCCAAAUUCCUAUAUGUGUUAAACUAUCUAAACUUCUUUCAUAUAUGUGCAUUGGAACAUCUCAACUUCUUUGAUCAUAUAUGUAUUUAGACUGUAAAACUACCUUUGUUUGCAAAUAUAUUGUUACAUUCCAUGUUUUCGUAUGUGAGAGUACGUCGUAAACUAAUUAAUGUAAGCUCAUAAAUGAGAUCAUUUUUGAAAGUACAUAAUGUAAGUUUCUUCUUGUUUUCUUGGAGGUUACAAAUCUUUAAUAUCAUGAAUAACAAGUACCAAAAGGGUUGGAAAGCUUAGNNNNNNNNNNNNNNNNNNNNNNNNNNNNNNNNNNNNNNNNNNNNNNNNNNNNNNNNNNNNNNNNNNNNNNNNNNNNNNNNNNNNNNNNNNNNNNNNNNNNNNNNNNNNNCAGAAUGAAAUAAGUUUUGUUGAAAGUCGACAAAUUUGGAAUGUUAUAACAUGUACUUUGGGGUGGGACUAGGGUUCUUAACAUUAUAAGGAGGUUAUAAUAUGAGUUAUCUUAGUUGUAUGAUAUUCAUUUUCUACAUUUUGAAGGCAAGCAAGUUGUGGAACAUGAGUUGGCAAAGGUCAUCACAAGUUACAUUCAUAAAUUUGCUGAAAUAUAGGUCUAAUAUAGAUGCACUUUUAUUCCAAUAUACUUGGAAUCAAGGGAUUAUCUACCUAUUAAAUAGAAUUCUAAAUUAGGCCAAAUGUAGAUACUCUUUUCUCCCAAUAUACUUGGAAUCAAUGGAUGAUCUAUUUACCAAAUUGAAUAUAUACGAGUCUAGUUUCCAACGCAUUAAACCGUUCAUCUAUACGACAUCGGAGUAGAGAGAUAUUAGAGUUUUUGUGAGACUGAGCAAGCAGCUCUCAAUGGGACCCACAUAGGCGGUGGUUGAGCUCCUUCAAAUUCUAAGCGAUUUGGAUGCUUAUUUUUGCUCAUUUUCAACUCAACCUUAUCUCCAAACUUCUCCAAACCCUUCUAAACAGGUUCCACAAGGGUUUGAAGUGAUUCCAAAGU